AAUGCCAAAUCUUUUUUGUCUAUUCGUCUGUUGGUGGACAUUUACGCUGCUUCCAUAUCUUGGCUACUGUAAAUAAUGCUGCAGUGAACAUCGGGGUGCACAUAUUGCUUUGGAUAGGCUGUUUUC